AUGAAGCUCUCACUUGCUCUCACGCUUGUGGCCAUCUUCCUUCUCAACAUUCCACCAUUCGAGGCCAGACCACUCGGACUUGGUGCACAUCCCUCUCGCCAUUACCAUCUCAGUUCACUUGUGCAAGAACUCCUAGACACGGUAGUAGACCGUCUGCGCCUCUCUCCGCUGCCUCGCCCGGGAGCAGCAGAGGAGGCCGGAGAGGCGGCUCUGGUGAGCUACGAACCGCGACGGAGGAGCGGCAACGGCGACGGCGACGGCGACGGCGACGGCGACGAGGAAGUCGCCCCAGGAACGCCGGGCGAUGAGUUGCGUCGGUCAGCAGCGCGCCCGCCGCCGCCGCCGCCGUCGCCGCACUAUCGUUGGCCGGCUGGGCGGUGGGGUCCCGUGCCCGGGGUUGGUGGGUCGCGCAGGCCGUAUCGCCCCCCGGCGCCUAGUGGGCAGAAGCCGCCGCACUGGCGCUCUUCGGGCGAUCGGUCCAGACCGAGGCCGUUCGAUGCGUUCCACGCGCUUCGUGUGUGGAGUAGGAUGUUUCUUUAA
rnacentral:rRNA from 1 species